CUACAGCGCCGAUUUUGGAAAACGGGGCCGUCUUUAUCCAGAGCUGAGUGAAGUCCAAGACGGUUCUCUGGAGGUCAGCCUCACUGAUCUGCGCACUCCUCUUGACAACAAAGUAAACAUACUCAGAUGACUUUUGUUGUGGAAAGUUUAAUGCAAAACUAUAAUCCUUGUGUGUGUGUUUCGAAUUACUGCAUUAAACAACAGGGAUCAUACCCCUCCUCCCUUGAUUUACCGGUCUUCGCUGCCAUAUUUAAUGGCCUGGAGAGAACAACAGCAACUGUAAACAGAAAACCACAAAAAGGUGGCCACCCGCCAUACUUGUGGAAAUAAAUUCUGGAAGCGGCAACAGAAAAGAAAAUACACAGUCAGAGUCGAGUUUCAGCCGUCCAUAAAUUCUUAAAAACUGUGCGUAUUUCAUUAGGAUCAGGGUUAUAUAAAACUGCCACGAUGGGGUCAAUGUUUAUGGAUCUGAAAGUGAAACGGUGCACGAGGGACAGAGAAACAAACCGUCUAAAUACAAAAAAAAGCCCCAGCAUUUCCAUUAUAUGCAGGUCAUCUUUUUAUGUAAUGCAAACUAACCCCUGCCUUGCAUUUGCAUCGCGGCCAGCCCGCCUCAGUAUAAUAUUUCACAGUUGUUUAACCGACGUUAUGAGGUUUUAUGGAAAUGCAGACAAACAGACAUGUACGCCGGAUGAUUAAUGUCUCUCCGGCUGCAUAUUGACGCUCGCUUGCCUUCACAAAUUCUGGGCGAGGCGGAUCGGUUUUCCAAGCAGUGGUUUAGGUAUAAAUAUCACAAGAUUUUUUUAUUUUUUUGGUUCAUCAAUGAAGUGAUCUCUCCAGUUGCGCGGCACACAGAGUACAGCGGUUAUUUUUCCAGCAUACCAGCAUUUAGUCAUUUUAGCCCACUUGAUGUUCCUCGAAACAGCGUGUGGUGAAAGUGUGGAGAGAGCGAAUGACGGGACUGCCGGGAGAAUGUGGAAAAAAAACUUGUCAAUGUAAGCAUUUCUUCACGGUGCACCUGAUGGAUUUCAGUACCAUUAAUGGCUUUAAUUAUGAGUGUUGCUGCUUUCACAGCUGGUUCAUUAGGCUGCGAGUACAUCAUGUUCAUCAGAAUCAGGAGGAUUUACGGCCUCGUGUUUAUCUAAAAUGCCUCCAUUCACCCGAAUAUUAACUGAGAUAUAAACUGUAUUUCCUGAGACAUUAUGAGCUUACUGUAGCGCGGCAUUCUAUACCUACCUCAGUAAUCAAGUGACCAUGAAGUAAAAUAAGUCAAAUCUACAGUCCGUCAUUGGUCACCGUUCCCGCUGCCUCUCCUUAACGUGAUUUAUAAGGAGAAGCAGAGCACAAGCAUGUAAUUUUGUGCACUUUGUGAAUCAUUAGCCCCACUGAUUGAUCUGAAGUAGGAUUUAUAUGGCAUUUACAGGAUAAAAAUGUAGCUACUCAAAAAGGUUGUGUUUUUUUUUUUCCUCGGUUGAUGAUUGCUCGCAGUGUUUGGGGAUUUAAGUACAGUUUCAGCUGAGAUUGAAACCGACCAUGAAGCUUUUAAAAGAAUCAAAAGGAAACCGCUGUGAUGAAAAUUGCUCCCUGGGAGCGGCUGGAUGAGGCAAGCUGCUCGCACUGGUGGCUUUUUUUUCCUGCAGGGGCAAUUUCCAGACCUGCUGAUCCUGUGUGGUCACCGCUCCUUAGAGCUGAAAAACACAUUGAUGAGGCAACUUUGAUCCUCGCUAGGAACAAUUAUCGUCCACCUGACUUUGAAGACGAGUAAAGCGCUUCAAAGAAUGGGUCAAGAAGAACAGGUGUUUUGGCUUUCUUUGGGUUAGAUGAGGAGAUCUAACCACAUUUCUGUUCGUUACAGUGCUGCAGCCGUUGAAAGGGAGGCGAGAGGUUAUUAGCUUAGCAUAGCAUAACGACUGAAAGCGGGAAGAGCAGGUUUAGCCUGGCUGCACCUUCUCAACUGACACAUUCACACAUUGAGUCUGAUUCAGUUCAUGUGUACGCAAAAAUACAAAUAAUGUAACAGGCUGUGGUUGUUCACGAGGCUACGUGAUGGAACAACUUCUAGACAAAUGGCGGUUGUGACUUUUGUUGUCAUCGUGACUUCCUGUAUGAUCAUAACUUUAUCGGUGUUUCUACAUUUCACAACAAAUAUACAAUGUGUUAAUUUAUGAGCUUUGCAGAGCCAGGCUAGCCGUUCUUCACUGCUUUAGUUCUUUAUGCUAAGCUAAGCUAAUAGCUCCACCUCCAUAGUUAAAGCACAGUAAGUGGGAGUUAUUCAUUUGUUAAUUUGUUCCAGUGCAUUCGAGUCUGUGGUUGUGUCUUUUUGCAGCAUGUUUUUAAAAUGCUAUACAUGUUGUCAAACUGAUGAAGUUUUAUUACUUUGCUUAUGUUCUGACUUUUUGCAUGUGUUUUCUUGAGAUUGCUGCAUGUUUUCCCUCAUUUGCCAGUGCUGAAGAAAGUGUUUUCUCAAACUUGCAACACAAAUUACCAGGAGAAUCGGAGUCGUUCAAACAGAAUCCUCUUUAAAAAAUACUACUCAAAAGGUUCUGGUCACCAUGGGAGAAGCUUGCAAAAAACAUCUGUGUGCUCCUGACAGAAUCUGGUCCCGGAGUCCAACCUCAAAGCUCAACUUGGCCCCGUAACAGAUCACGGACAUUGUUGGGAACUAUCGCCAAGUGUUGCACAAGACGGAUUUAUGAGCUAUCUUUUGUCCAAGCCGGAGCUUGUUGAUGCAGUCCACCAUGUGUCCACCUACUGUAAACCUUAAAAAGGCCAAGAAAAAGAAAAGAAAGCAGGCCUGUAGCAGCACAGUGGGAAAAGCUAUUAGUCCCAUUAUUGUUCUGACUGCGUGCCAAGUCUAUAAUGAGGUGAGACGAGACCCACUGAGUUCCUAAAAACUGACAAAUGAGUCUUGAUCUAGCAACUGUAAAUCCCAUGUUUGCGUUUAUGUGUUGCCAUUUAUUUUCCAGAAAGUAUAAAAAUGUCUCCGCGGACCUUCUCUUAAGCUUUUAUAGUCCCGACGGUGCUGAAAUAAAGUGGCACGACUCAGCCUCACAGCCAAGAUUAGGCCCUAACGAGCAGAAAUCUUAACACGUUCAGAGUUUUGGAGGUACCAGGGGGAAAGUCGAGAACGAACGGGUGACUGUCAACAGGUGCUAAAUUACAGGGCUGUGGUCAAGAGAUAUUUGACACCUUUCACCGAGAAGUGGUUUGAUCUACGGUGAGGAGGAUGGAGGUUUAUGGAGGCGGGAGACGCCUUCAGCGCUGCAGAGGAGACAAACGUGAUUUACCGACCGUACACAGAAGAAGUUGUGGAGGCCGGGGAAACAAAGAGGGGAUUGUGUCUACUCAUCAUUUAUUGAGGUCGGGGAGGAAAAGCUUUCCAAACCGCACAAAGUGUAAAUAUUUAACCAGCAGCGUUGGACAUAUUUCUGUAGUCUAUUUUCUUACUCGGUGACACAACUUGGACAACCAAAGCACUGAACUGCAGGAGGGAAACGCAGCAUGGGGCUCUUUAAGCAACUGGUCUUACAGUAGUGCAAGAUAAAACAAUCUUAUUUUAGCUUUAGCUGCUUUUGAUUCUUUUGGCUCCCUGGGUGGGGCUUAACAUGCUUCAAACGCAGACAUAUUCAACAUGUACCCAGACUGCACACAGAUCCUGCAGACUAAUAGAAGAAACGACCGUAGUGCGGUAAGCGUGAAGACACUGGUGAGACGUCAGCAUUUGAGUCGCCUUUCCAACAUAACACACCGAUGUCUGCAAGACAUUCUCUUUAGACUCUGUUUUGGGUCUCUAUCAGCUUCUGAGGGAAUCACUGGUCUGUUUAGCAGCUAAAUUCUCAUUUUGAUUACUAGCUAGUUGGCAACUUUAUCUGUCUAUGGCCUGCUGAAGACAACGCUAUGCUCAGGGUGAGAGUGAAAACAGAAAAGCACUAUCAAAUUACGCUUACACAGCUGUUGAUUUAAAAAAUAUUUAUCAGUGCAGCUUUAAGAACAGAUCAUGUUUAGUGCUGAGUUUGCAAGAGGCAAAUACCUCUUGAUUGAGAAACGGGGGCCAGAAAAAUAGCAUAACAGAAAGUCACGAUACAAAGGCAGUUUUUCCAGAAUGCAGCAGGAAACAAUUAGAAUCAGUGCCGAAACACAGGAACACCACUAAAAAGCUAUUAAAACAUAUGGUAUUGUUUCACAGUCUCACUCUGCUUGAACUAAUCUUCUUGUGCUCUCAUUCCAAAUAAUAUCCCACUUUCCGCCAUUUCUAUAAAGCGAUUGUGUGAUUGCGGAAAACUGGAGUCAUGCCUUUUUAGAAUAAAACAUCCCUUCAGUUCGGUCUAGCGUGUCUUUUUUUCCCUGCGUACCAUCCAGCUAAUGAGUUCCAGCCACUUUUGACGGUAAGAAUUGAAGGUGACGCUGCGUAACACUAGCAAAGAAACACAUUCGGAGUGUGUUAACGAGGAGCAUGAAGGUAGGCAGUUUCUGUCAACAGGCAAAAUAUCAGCCACAGUGAGAGAGAGACCUGACCGUGGAGCUCCUGCCACACAUUCGCAUUGUUCAGAGUGAAAUAUGAUGUUUCUGUCUCAGGCAGAAAACAAAUUAUGUGACAGUGCAAACGGAUAGGCCAUAGGCAAAUAAAUCUUAAGGCACCAAAUGGGUCUCAGGAGGAAUCUGGGAGGCUAAUACAGCAGUGGCAAAAACCAGAUGGUGAUGAUGUACAGGCACUUCCACAAGAAGAGGAGAAUAAUCCUACUUGACCUAUGAUGUAAAGCUAGGUUUAGUUACCGCUUUAGGUGGAAACACUAAGCCAGUUAAGCGCACAUGCUGAAUGAAUACAAACAUGCUUUUUAACCCAUUCUGUAGAAUUUCUGUCACAUUUUUUGGGGUGUUUGGAAGGUUAUAAUGUUAAAACUAGCUUUCAUGCCUACUGCUUACACGCUUGAGAGAGGUGCACUGUAUGUAAAUGAUACCGAAUUGUGACGUUUCCGAAGAAAACAGAACCUGAAGGACAGGGAAAAUAACAAAGCCCAGUACAAAUCACAAAGAAGCAAACUGGUCUCUCGGUGUCUAAAAGGUGGCGGUGUGAAUAAAACCCACAGCCACCCACUGAUUCUAUCAAAAUGAUGGAUGAACAAAAGGUAUGGUGCAAAAAACCAAAGGUGAACUGGGAGUUGCUGAUCGGGGUUGAUCGAAACUGGCCAAAAGAAAGAAAUCUCAAACACACUCAACUUCACCCAAAACAGAAAAUGCAGAGAGCCAACUGAUGGUGCUGACUGGGCAGGAAAGCUGCAAUCCCCUUUAUAUAGUCCCUGCUGACUGAUUGCAGCCAGCUGAGAGAGAACAUCACAGGUGCACCCAGUAGCCUGUGAUUACCUGUGACCUAGAUCCUGAGAUAUCCCUGCUCACAUCAGGACCUUGGAGAAUCUCUGAUCCGUCUGUAACAGUACACAUCGUUAUUCAUGAAAAUGCAGCAUGAAUCUGAUCACACUUGACUAAAAGCGACUAGACGGGGAUUUUUUUUUUUCAUGUCUUUAAAAGGAAAUGAUCACACGUCGUCCGCAGAAACACGCGGCCUGCUCAUUUCCUGUUAUUGAGGAACUCACUGUUGCCAUGGCAGCGGACACAACCUUCCCCAACAAACAGUUACCAGUUGCCAAGGAAAUUGCAGCUUACCGCAGUGUUUAUUUGUUUGACCUUCUCUCUUCCGUCUGAAUAGUUGAGCUCGUGCCAGGUCCCAGCAUUAAAUGAGCCUUAAUGAUAAUGGUUUACCGUAGCGCAGUGGGUUUAAGUGGCUGUUUUCAGUGUGUACAAUCUGACUGGUUUUUAUGGGACUCUUUUUUUUUCUUUUUUUUUUUUACAAACAUGUCUGCAGCAAUAUUUUUCUUCCGAAUGGUGCCAAAUUUGGGUUUUCCUCCCUUGACGGUUCCCAUGAAGUCUAACAUGCUUGAAAUGUUCUUACACCAACCGACAGUGUUCGGCCAUGCAUCUGUUAAGUGUGUGUGUGUGUGUGUGUGUGUGUGUGUGUGUGUGUGUGUGUGUGUGUGUGUGUGUGUGUGUGUGCAGCGCAUGAGAGCAUUUGUUUUUGAUAGAGAGGCCUCAACUGACAGACAUCCAAGUCAAACAAGGCUUGAACUUGGCCCCAGUUCUGACUUCUUGCACAGAGGCUCUGGAUAUUCAGAUGUUCAAGGCGAGGCAGAUAAGGUUGAAGUAUAUUUGUACAGCGACUUUCAGCAGCAAAGCAAUUUAAAGAGCUUUACAUAAGACAUGAAAAGCAUAAUUUUGAAGUUAUCUAAGCUCUGUGUUUGGCAAUAUUGAUGGUUGGAAUUUCUUCAGCAACAGACUAAAACACACAUGGCGGCCAUCUUCCUCAGACAUGGCAUGACAUCAAAUGCUCGGAAAAUAUUUGUCUGCUGUGUUCCUGGUUGCCAGUUGUGUAAACACAGGGAAUCUGACAAAUUGUUAUCAUUUCACCACUUCCUGCUUGAUUUGCAAACUGAGAAGAUAACGGCGCAAUGGUGAAUUUAUGGAGGGACAUCAGGCCAUAUUUCAAGGAAAAACAUCAUAUUUGAUAACCUAUUAGGUCAAUUCAAUUUUAAAUAACUGAGCAAACCUGCACGAUUAACUCAAGAUCUGGGUAAUUUUGUACCCUGCAAGUGAGCAGCUCGCAUUGGAAUGGACGGGGCUCUGCUUCCAAUGCUGUAUCCAGAUUUCCCUCAUUGCAGUAUAUCCAUGUUCUGACCGUUGCGUCAGAGGAAAAUGGCCGCCAUGUUAAAUUGCUCUCAUAUGCACAGGAGAUUUACAGGCGAUGAAGCAUUGAUGGAAGUAAUUUGACUCAUCAGUGGUUUAUAUUCCAACUCUAGCAUUCUAAAACCAUUUUUCUGACGCAGAGGAAAACCAGUGCAAACACAUGAUGACUGCAGUGAUGUGAUUCUGAAUAAACUGCAGCCUCUCGGCCGGUCCUGUAAGGAUGCCAUUGCAGCAGCACAAUUUAAUGCUCCAGAAGAGCUGAUCAGCAGGACGUUGUGGCCACACGUGACAGCAUUUCUACAGACUUAAUUGGCCAUCAAAGCCAAAAGAAUCUUCCCUGCGGUCGCCGGGACACAAGCACUCACUCAACAUGACAACACUGACGCUCAUGUCGGCCAAUCAGGAGCCUGCGAGAGGCCGCAGGGAUCUGUUUGCGAUUCAUUCAGCAGCAGACAGUGGGAAGCAUGUUCAAACAAGCUAAGUAUAACUCAGGGCAUUAUUGAUGAAAGAGAAGGGACAACUCCAUGAUGAUGUGACGCAAGACAAAUGAGUCCACAAACAUGUCAGUGAGCUGAGUGAUUGUGAUCUUCAGGGCAAUUGAGGAAAGUCUUUAUGAAAGGGAACAGUGUUGGGGUGUGGACAGUAUCAAUAUUACUCAUGUGCAUAUGUCAUUUAUCCUCAUCGCUCUUGCUAUAUGUCAUUUUAGGUCAAAAUACAACACAAACGGUACUGGAACAGAUUUUUAGUUCCUCUGAUUAUGAACGUAUUAGUACUGAUGACAUUUGCAUACAGGGCAGGACUAACCAAAAAAAAAAAACUCUGACCUCUGAUGUGGGGAUAAGCAAUCGAUCCAGAGACGAUUAAUCACCACAGCAACCAUGACAAAGCACAGAUGCUCUGGCGGUUCCCCGUCCAGCUGAAAUCAGAGGAAACUUAUGUGGAGCGUGAGGUAACGAGAGCAUCAAAGGCGAGCUGAGAUAAGAGAGCAGACAUUGGGGGAAAAACCUGGAGUGUGUCGGAGAGAGGAAUAGUGUGCGAAUGUGUGUGAACCUGUGCGAUAUCCACUGUGAAACAAAUGGGUGUGUAGAAGAGGGGUGUCAGUGUCGUGUCACUGAAAGUGUUUGUGCUUGCAGAUUGGUUGAUUUUCAUGCUUAAGCAAUUCAAGAGUGAAAGGAUUAGGGAAAUACGAAUGUAAGGAUGGAAAGGAGGGAAUGACGGUGGGAAAUAGGAGGUAAAAAAGGGGGGAGCAUGGUUUGGUUUGUCAGCUUAAAUGUUUCCUGAUUUAUUUUGUGGAAUCCAUCCUCAUGCUUCUUGUAGUGACUCUCCACUUCCUGUCUUUGUCUUUUUCUCAACCUUUCUCUGUGUACACAUAUGCAGCAUUUGCUAAUCAGAAAAGUUCAUCUGGUUUCCUCCUGUUGAUGGGUCAUCUGCGUGUCCUCACUUGUCCUCUUGUGUGCCAGUUUUUGUCCCUGGUCAUAUUCUGGUUGGUUCUAAGCUCUUAAUCUUCUUCUAGUUCUUAUCUUAAGUUCUAUUCUUAAUUUUUCCUUUUAUUCUCUUUUGCCUUUUUGGGAUUCCAGUUUUGUAAAUGAAGCUCGCCUUUUGUUUCCGAACCUACCUAACGUUACACAUCUUGAGGUAGAAAUAUGGACCAUGGAGUCUCUGGUUCCCCAACAACAAAUCCAGUUCUGAUACUCUACUGUACUUUUAGCUCGGAUUUGGUCUCUACCAUUUCCUUUGGGAAAUAUCUUGUUGUUAAGCUUCCAAAACUCAUUUUCUGCCUCUUGAUUUCACUCAGUGGUGUAGCUGGCUAAUCGCCACAGCUGGAAACAAGGUUAUCAGGAUCAUGAAAUGCUUCAUACUCAAUGAAAACUGACUACAUCUACAGUGGAUACAUGUUGGUAUUAGAAUGUUUUGUUUCUGAGUGUGUGUAACUGAGGCACUUCCCUCUACGAGUCGGCAGCUUCAUUGAAUGGACACAGUGUCCUCCUCCAACAGGCUGUGGUCCCUCCUGGCUUCGUGCUCUUCCAGCCUCGCCUCCUCCUCCUCCUCUGGGUCUCCAUCUGACAGAGCUGUACGAGUGAUGGACGCCACCCCGCCACAGCUUGUUUUACUUCCCUCCCUGAUUUCCCUAAAAACAGAUCAUGUUUGCUUGUGUAGCACUCUGCAUGGACCCUGAUCUAUCGCUGUGUAUAAUUAUAGCGCGGCUCGCAUAAAUUCAGUGAAACACAGGAAAUAUUGGCACAAUUAAAACAGGGAGAGCGCGGGUUAUUUUGAGAACCCAUGACAGGAGAUUUAUUGGGCUCAUUUUGCCGUUCUGCAAGUAAUUUCAGAUUUUCUCCCAUUAAUCUUCCUGCAAAUUGAGAGGCCUCUCCAAUUUCCUCCUAAUUUCUGCUGCAAUUUAAACGUCAAAUGAAACAUUUUUAUCUCGAUUCUUGGAUGAUGAACUACUGAUUUUCUCCCCCCAAAAAUAUGAAUGUAGCAGGCUAUGAUGUCAUCCCACUGAAUGUUUUGCUCCCAAAUGUAAAACACACUUUAUCUGACAGUAGCUCACAGUAGCUGCUCUUACAGUAGCUCAUCUGUGUUUAGUGAAAUUUAAGCCAAGAGGUCGAACUGAUGAACUCGUUUUUUUAGAUCACAUGAAUUCAGUGGUUAAAGGUCACUGCAUGUCUGAAUGUGUCUGAAUGAUGUGAACGGAACACAAAAAAGCAGUGUGACAGUCCUUAUAGGGGAAAAUAUGACAUAAUAACACAUUGGGUGCCAAAUCUAGUCCCUGUUUUCAGUUGUAAAUUAUUAGACUGUCCGCUUUACAAGAUUUCAGCGCAGCUCUUUCAGCAGAUUCUGACAGAUGUGACACUGAAAUGCUUUGCAAAGUGCUGCAUAACAAAAGUGAAUACCUUCUAUGCUGAGCUUGGAGAUAAAAACAAUUUAUGGUAAAUUAGUAUCUGUCAGGGCUGUAGCCAGUUUUUCAAAAGUUAUCCGCCAAACCCCUCAGACACUGUGUUAUUUUCUACAAGAAACUGAAUUUCUUGUAUCUAUUACUUUCAGUCAUAAUUAACAAUCCUGAUAGUGGAAUCAACUGACAAAAUCACAUAUGGUAUGUCAAAACUUGAUUGUCGAACGCAAGCUUUUCUCAUUGGUAUAUCACUCCAAUUGCUAGAAAAAAUGUUGCCAAAGUACAUUCUUUAGGUUCAGUUUCCUGUGUUGAUGACGUUGCAGUGACAGUCUGGUUAGGUCACUUGUUAAGGGUCAGAAAAAGAUCACGUUUAGGCUUAAAAUAUCUGUUGUUGUUGCCACAAACACAGCUGGAUAGUUUCUGAGGUCUCCUUAAAAAUAUCCAGUUGUGUCACAAUGUUAAAUGUCUAAACGCCAUGGUUCCUCAUCAAAACAAUACAGUAGCACAUGCAAAUGUUGAAACACGGUCUUGAACAGCGGUCACUGGCUUGGCUGCCUUUCCUCCAAUAUGGAAGUCAGGUCACACAAAUGUAAUGUGCACAUGAUAUCAGAGAUAUUGUUGAGAUGUAAAUUGGGCAUCCUCCGUAUGACACAGAAAUAAACAGUAAACAGCCAGCAUCUUAUUCAUGCCUGUAAUCUUCAGAAAGUGUGUGGCGACAUGCCAUCUCCACUGCACCGACUGUGCACAUUAAUGUCCUCAUGUGGUAGCAGUUUCUGUGCUUGAUUAGUCAUGGAGAACGCGAAAACCUCCAUGUUAAUCUUGUCUAAUUUAAGAGAGGAGGAAUGAUUGCUGAAAGUUGUAAUUACAAGGCAGUAACAGGGACCCAUCGAGGGGGCCAACCUCACGGGCUGGACCACGGGACCCGCGAACAGAGUGCGUGCCGCUGAGGCGCGACUCUCGGCUACCUGGGUGGCUGGCAGAGAUGAGCUCUCUGAUUAGUCUGCAGAGAGAAGAGCAUGCCAUUUUAACCAACCACCCCACGAGGAAAAUUACAAGGCUCUCAUCCUCUAGAAUUCUUGCAAGAACCUGCAGGUAAAUCUGUCGCUGAAAAACCAGAUUGAGAAUAAACCCACAUCCAACCCCAGUCAAAGAUCAAUCAAGGCUAGAAAAAAUGAAAAUGUCAUGAUGGUUACUUCAGUAAGUCAACCUCACAAUGCCUUCGGUAGAGAGCGAAGAGAAGCACCAAAGGUCUGCACUGAACAGACAGACUGACAACAUCAGCGUUUUGUUUGGUUGCCAUGGGGAUUUCAUUAAAGUGCUCUUUGGGGGUUUGCUAUCUUUUAGAAAUCAUUCAACUGUGGCUGAAAAACAAACCCAAACACACUGCAGGUGUGUGUGUGUGUGUGUGCAUCUGCAGCAUGCAUAGACAUAAAAGUGAAGACUAACAGGAUAGCAAACGCCCAUAUGCACAAAAACACAGGCUUGCAGAGACAGAGACCAUAAAGGAGCGACUACUUUUCAACCCUGCUGAUCAGGUCAAAAGUCGGCCCUGGAGUCGGGGUGUGAUCCGCUUGUCUUGUAAUGAUUACACCGAGAAACUCAAUGAGCUCAAAGUCGAAACAGAGUCCAAGUCAAAGAGAUGUGUGACAUCAUCAUCAUCAUCAUCACCAUCAUCAUCAUGUGCAGUCACAAGCCAACACUGCGGCUAUUAUUCUGCUGAAUUUUAAGUCCUGCACCAUUGUCAUUGUUCCAGACAGAUAUUUAAGAAAAGAUAUUUAACAAUAUUAAUAAAAAGGGAAAUGGUUACAAAUGUUUUUUUUUUCGCUUUUAGCUCGUCACCUGCAUUUUUCAACUAUUUAUCCACAUGCACCCCUGCAAUGCCAACAACAAUUAUAAAGCUCUGUGGACUUGGAUUAUUCAUCAGGUGGGUUAUCUCUGAAUAGAUAGGUGGAGUCGCAUAACAAGAAGAUUACGGCGCAGCAGCAGGGAGAUUGGAGGUCAAACCCUUGGAGAUCUUGCAAAGGACAGAGCGACCUACACAACACAUCCCUUUAAGGAGAACCUCAGACCGAUGACCUCUUGUGACCCCCGUGAUCACAUGUGACAGUGUGCUGGGUCGUGGUCGUUCACACGGCUCUGCAGUAGAGACGGAGGAAAAUAAAGUUGCUGACGAGAAAGCCGAGCCCUGAAAAGAAAGAAUGGAAGAAAAGCUUUUGUUACAGAGCAUUCAUAAUUCAGUGUUUAUUUCAUGGAGGCAUUCUGAAGAUUAAUUAGUGGUAAACUAGAGAAUGAACUGCAACCGAGUAAUUACCUGAAUGUAUAAAGUUGCUGAGG